rnacentral:rRNA from 1 species
GAUGAACGCUGGCGGCGUGCCUAAUACAUGCAAGUCGAGCGAACAGACGAGGAGCUUGCUCCUCUGACGUUAGCGGCGGACGGGUGAGUAACACGUGGAUAACCUACCUAUAAGACUGGGAUAACUUCGGGAAACCGGAGCUAAUACCGGAUAAUAUAUUGAACCGCAUGGUUCAAUAGUGAAAGACGGUUUUGCUGUCACUUAUAGAUGGAUCCGCGCCGCAUUAGCUAGUUGGUAAGGUAACGGCUUACCAAGGCAACGAUGCGUAGCCGACCUGAGAGGGUGAUCGGCCACACUGGAACUGAGACACGGUCCAGACUACUACGGGAGGCAGCAGUAGGGAAUCUUCCGCAAUGGGCGAAAGCCUGACGGAGCAACGCCGCGUGAGUGAUGAAGGUCUUCGGAUCGUAAAACUCUGUUAUUAGGGAAGAACAAAUGUGUAAGUAACUAUGCACGUCUUGACGGUACCUAAUCAGAAAGCCACGGCUAACUACGUG